rnacentral:lncRNA from 1 species
UUCAUCAGAACUGGUAUUGUGCCAAACUUCUCAAGUGGCUUUACAAGUCGUGACUGCUUGUUUUGUAUUUGGAAAGUUAAUGUCUCUUUGGAUACUUAACAUUUUAGCCACCAAAUAAAAGCUGUCAGGAAAAGAAUUUGGAGACUGAGCAGAAGCCAAACAUUUUUAUAUUGAAAAAGGCUGGUGAAACCAGAACCAUCAAAUAUCUUUUGGUUGGAUUCCCAGCUGAUUUAUUAAUUUCACUAAUAAAAUAUAUUCAUGCCAUUUUGGAGUUACUUACCUUUAUAGUUUAAUUUUCUCAUUUAAAUUGUAGGGAACUUUUUUAAUUUAAAUUAUUGCUUCAGAAUAAAGAGAGUGAGGGAUUUUCUUUGGGAAAGGUGUUAAAAAUAAAUAUUUACACAGCUUUAAAAUUUUCCCUUAUUUUUUGGCUGAAGAUCUUCCCCAAAUUAAAUAUGAAUUUACAUCCUUCUAUACUUCUGAAACUUUAUUUUCUGAGAAUCAAACGUCUUUCACUGAAUAUGACUUAACACCUCUGAAUAUUAGUACUUGCUUGCUCAGAUGGAGUUCACUUUCUCAGUGAGCUACUUGAAAACAUUAGUUAUAAUUCUGUAGAAACACUCUGAAUUGGACAUUUUAAAGGAGCAGGUCAACCUGUCCCCCAGAAGAGGCCGACGAAGCUGCACAGCCGUCAAGUUCAGGGCCAAUACCAGCCUAAAAGAUACAUUCCCAGCCCUACAAACUUUUAAAUUUAUGAGCCCAGUCCCAUUCUUAUUCAAGAAAAGAAAAAAAAAAAAAAAGCUGUUCUCAUUGUAUAUAUGAGUUCAUUUGAAUCCAAAGUAAAUAACACCAAGAUAAAAAAAUGGAACAGAAGAAAUGACAGGCUGAUCUCAUCUUUAAUGUAUACACAUGCAUUUUCUAUCCCUGCUUCUAUAGGCAAUUCCUAUAGCAAGAAACUUGAUCAAUUGAAACUUAACAAUAUCCUACUAUGUAGAUAUUUUAUGGAAUAUAUUUAUAUAUGUUUCCUUUAGUGUAUGCACAAUACAAUAGGAUUCAAGGAAGGAACCAAUUCAUAGGUCGUCCAUUCAUCAUUGUAUAUACCAACAAGGAUGGUCUGGUAAGGCAAAUGAAUAGACAAUAAAGAUAAAAUUUAAUUCUUGGAACAAUGGAAAUUAGGAUUUUAAGAAGUAUUAAUGUAAAAAAAAAAAAAAA